rnacentral:lncRNA from 1 species
GGCGCUGGGGCGCCGGGCAAACUGUUUCAACGUGAGCCCUCCCCUUGGAGCCCAGAGGCCCAGAGGCUGGGGGAGAGGAGCCCGUCUGGGAGGGCCCCGCACGACGCAAGGCGAGUUGGCGUCGGCCUCAAGUGGACACGCUGCUGUUGUGCCCCCGCUCUUGCGCGCCCCGCAGACAUGCACCGGCGGCGGCCGGGCGCGCCCCGGGGCCUCGCCCCCGCGCGGGGACUCUGAGUGCCGCCGCCCCCGUGAGAGCUCCUGGCCGCUGGGGUUCGCAGCACUGCUGCCGCCCACAUCCAGCCAUGCGGCGCUGGGCCUGGGCCGCAGUCCUGGCCCUCCUCUGGCCACAGCUCGCCUUGCUCUGGGGAGUCGGGGCAUGGCGGGAGCCCAAGAGGCUGCGGCAGCCUGGCCAGCGCACAGAGGCCCCCAACGCCACAGCUUCUGACAGUGAAGGUCUGCCUGGCUCUCCCAAGUCGCUGGAGCCCUCAGGGCCUGAGUUCUCGGAUGCUCACAAGACGUGGUUGAACUUUGUCCGACGGCCAGAAGAUGGUUCUUCCAAGAAACGCUGUCGCUGUCAAUGCCAAGACAAGAAGUUGCGAGGCCUCUUGGGUCCCCCGGGGCCCCCUGGACCUCCAGGACCCCCAGGGCCCCCCGGUGUGGAAGUCGCCCCAGCAGCCCUGCUUCAGGAGUUCAAGGACAUGCUGAAGGAGGCCACAGAACGGCGGUUCUCAGCAUGGCCAGACCCGCCACUGUCCCGUGGGGCUGGCCCAUGGCUGAUGGUUGAGGCCUUUCACUGCCGGCUGAAGGGCCCCGUGCUGGUAGACAAGAAGACACUGGUGGAGCUGCAGGGUUUCCAGGCUACCAUAGUGAGCUGCAGGGCAGGGCCCGGCUGCGGGCCCGGGACACUGUGCGUGUCCUCAUCUGCAUCGAGUCCCUGUGUCACCGCCACACGUCCCUGGAGGCCAUCUCAGGCCUGGAGAGCAACAGCAGGGUCUUCACGGCACAGUUGCAAGGGCUGCUGCAGCUGCAGGCUGGGCAGUAUGCCUCCGUGUUUGUGGACAACGGCUCCGGGGUGGUCCUCACCAUCCAGAGUGGCUCCAGCUUCUCUGGGCUGCUUCUGGGUACCUGAGGGUGCAGAGGGAGCACCCUGUCAGGACCUGUGAUUGCCCCUCUGAGGAAGGAGGCGAGAAGACCCCCAGUGGAUUCCUGUGGUCACAGCAAUAAAAGCCCCAGUACUCUGUUGCCCCGG